ensembl:rRNA 5S_rRNA 5S ribosomal RNA
GCUAAGGGCAUACUACCCUGAAUGUGCCCGAUCUCCUCCGAUCUUGUGGGCUAAUCAGGGUCGGGUCUGGCUAGUGCUUGGAUGGGAGAACUGUGAUCAAAACAUCAUACAGAUUCCCCUGAGAU